GCGCUGGUGGCGGAAUGGCAGACGCGCAUGGUUGAGGGCCAUGUCCCAGUAAUGGGGUGGAGGUUCGACUCCUCUCCAGCGCA
rnacentral:tRNA from 1 species